UAGCCAUGAUGAACAUUUCCAUUAUUCGCAGUUUCCACCAGAGAGGAAACUCGUUCCUCUGAGACGGCAAUAACCUUCCUUGGAUGUCUGAGCUA
rnacentral:snoRNA from 1 species